UGGCCUCUGACCUUGGCAUUAGCCAGCCAGC
rnacentral:piRNA from 1 species